UAUUUAUUCUAUAACGUCUUUUAACUUGUUUAGUAUUCCGUCAUUGUGUGUGCAACUGUGCAUUGAAAGGAUAACACUUCAUGCAUGUUACCUUUUGAGAACUAUGGGACCUUCAUCUUCAAAUGCCUUCAUCUGUUUCCUGUCUGUGGUGCAAUGUAGGCUAUGCUGUGGUCUUCGUCACCUCACUCCUUUAGCCAACCAACAUGCAUGGAUUCUAAUGCCAUCAUCUGGUCAUGAAUAGCAAAAUGUUCAUCUUUGUUUCUUUUGCAAAUUUUCCAUCUGAAAUCAAUCGUGCAGUCUGGGCUCGCUUAUGGAAUUAUUAAGCUAGGUAGCGUCCAUCUAAACUGAUAGAGGGCACCGGCGGCAUCCCGGAUUAAGGACCCGAAAAAAAUCCAUGUUCGCUGGCUUACAUUAUCGUAGAACGCCGUGAUUGUUGUGUCUGGAUUGUACCAAACUUACCACAUCACCAAACCCAAGAGUGUACAUGAUGAAGAACUGGCAAGUCUUUUUGGGACCAGUUGUUGAAUCUGUGAAAGGUCUUCAUUCAGAAAAUUUACGUGGAUGGAGAUGUGGCAUUUUUAAGAAAGUAGUUUCUCGUCACCACUGUUUGCUGUUUCGUCCCGAAGAUAAAAGUUUAAAAUUUUUAUAAAUUAAAGUGUAUAUCUGGGCUCCCUUCUUUUCUGUGGCCCCGUUUCCCCUUGACUUAUGAUAAGCCCGUAGGGGGUCAUGCCCCUACUGUGAUCAGCAGC
rnacentral:lncRNA from 1 species